UAUAGGAAGGAACACCAGUGGCGAAGGCGACUACCUGGACCGAUACUGACACUGAGGUGCGAAAGCGUGGGAGCAAACAGGAUUAGAUACCCUGGUAGUCCACGCCGUAAACGAUGUCUACUAGCCGUUGGGGGACUUGAUCCUUUAGUGGCGCAGCUAACGCGAUAAGUAGACCGCCUGGGGAGUACGGCCGCAAGGUUAAAACUCAAAUGAAUUGACGGGGGCCCGCACAAGCGGUGGAGCAUGUGGUUUAAUUCGAAGCAACGCGAAGAACCUUACCAACUCUUGACAUCCAGAGAACUUGCUAGAGAUAGCUUGGUGCCUUCGGGAACUCUGAGACAGGUGCUGCAUGGCUGUCGUCAGCUCGUGUUGUGAAAUGUUGGGUUAAGUCCCGUAACGAGCGCAACCCUUGUCCUUAUUUGCCAGCACUUCGGGUGGGAACUCUAAGGAGACUGCCGGUGACAAACCGGAGGAAGGUGGGGACGACGUCAAGUCAUCAUGGCCCUUACGAGUUGGGCUACACACGUGCUACAAUGGCCGGUACAGAGGGCCGCAAACCAGCGAUGGUAAGCUAAUCUCAGAAAACCGGUCGUAGUCCGGAUCGCAGUCUGCAACUCGACUGCGUGAAGUCGGAAUCGCUAGUAAUCGCGAAUCAGAAUGUCGCGGUGAAUACGUUCCCGGGCCUUGUACACACCGCCCA
rnacentral:rRNA from 1 species